rnacentral:rRNA from 1 species
UACGAAGGGGGCGAGCGUUGUUCGGAAUUACUGGGCGUAAAGGGCGCGUAGGCGGCGACCCAAGUCAGAUGUGAAAGUCCUGGGCUUAACCUGGGGACUGCAUUUGAUACUGGGUUGCUUGAAUUCGGGAGAGGAUAGCGGAAUUCCCAGUGUAGAGGUGAAAUUCGUAGAUAUUGGGAAGAACACCGGUGGCGAAGGCGGCUAUCUGGACCGACAUUGACGCUGAGGCGCGAAAGCUAGGGGAGCAAACGGGG